UUAGAUAACAUCAAAAGACCAAAUCUAAGAUUUAUUGGGAUAGAGGAAGGCACAAAGAUUCAAACCAAAGGAAUGCACAAUUUCUUCAAUGAAAUAAUAUCAGAAAAUUUCCCAAGCACGAAGAAUAAAUUGCAAAAUCAAAUACAAGAGGCCGAUAGGAAACCAAAUGUACAAAAUUAAAACAAAUCUACACCAAGAUACAUUAUAAUGAAAAGGUCUAGCAAACAGAGUAAGGAUAAAAAUUUAAAAGCAACAGAGAAAGGAAUGAGAUUACAUAUAUGGAAAAAAAUUCGGAUCUCUGGAGAUUUUCAAUCCAGACCCUCAAAGCUAGAGUAUCCUGAAAAAAUAUAUACCAAUCUAUGAAAGAAAAUGGAUGCCAACCAAGAAUCAUAUUCAGAAAAAAUAAGCUUUAGAUUUGAUAAUGAAAUAAAAACUUUCCAUGACAAACAUAAGUUAAAAGAAUUUACAACUAGAAAGACUGCAGUAGAGAACAUCUUGGGAAAAUAGACCAAGAGAAGCAAAUGAAAAACAACAAUGAAAAUCAGCAAAGGGAGUGAUUACACUAAAGGAAAAAUCAGCCAAAAGAGAAACCAAGUCAAUAUAAAUACCAAAAAUAAACAAAAAUGACAUGAAAUACAAAUCAUGUCUAAAUAGUAACCCUCAAUAUUAAUGUCCUGAAAUCACCAAACAAAAGACAUAGACUGGCAGGUUGAAUUUAAAACAACAACAACAACAAUAUGCUGCAUUCAAGAGGCUCAUCUCAUAGGAAAAAGCAUCCACAGACCAAAGGUGAGAGGUUGGGAAAAAACACACUCACAUGGACUGUAGAAACAAUUAGGGGUUUCCACCCUCAUAUCAAAUAGACUUCAAGCCAAAGUUAAUCAAAAGGGAUAAAGAAGAACAUUUCAUACUACUUAAGGAAUCCAUAUAUCAACAAGACUUAAAAAUUAUAAAUAUGUAUACCCCAAGCAGUAGAGCAUCUAUGCUCAUCAAUCAAACUCGUCUCAACUUCAAGAGUCAAAUAGACCACAAUAAAGUAAUUCUGGAUGACUUUAACAUGCCUCUUUCACCACUGGAUAGAUCUUCCAAACAAAAGCUAAACAAAGAAAUUAUAGAACUCAAUAAUACAAUCAAGAACUUAGACUUAAC
rnacentral:lncRNA from 1 species